CAUUCAAGAUUUGAACCAUUAGAAGUUUCUUACUAGUUUCUGCUGUUUAGUCAUUUUAACAUACAAUUAUGUUUUUGAACUUUUUUUUUUUAACAAUUACAGAAACCCGAAUCUUGGAGGCUCGCUUGUCAAACUAUUGUAGGAAAUAAGGAAAAUGCUGGGAAGGUUACCGUUCAGCGGAUGCCCCAGUGGAAGAAGUGAUCUGCAAUUCGUUUCAAAUUUCGUAAGGUGAUUAUUCCACAACUUUUGAGUCUGUAAUAUCCUCCUGGAGUUUGUAACAUCAAAUUUUGUGGAGAAAUAUAAAUUGAUAUCCCAUUGAGCAUCUGGUCUUAAAUAGAAGAUUGUAUUUAAGAAAAAGAAUUCGUCAUUGAUAGAAUGAGAAUCACACAGCAAACUUGCUGAACAA